CAUGAUUUAAAUUUAUUUAUGAAAAAUGGGCCGACCAAAGUCAUUUCUUUAAUUCUUAGUUUUCAAUCACAUUCACCAUUGAUUAUGAUCAUUUUAAUAUCAUAUAUGCAUUGCAUACCGAAAAUUUUCUAUCCAAUUCUACCCAUUUACAAUUAUGUUAAUGGAAUCUAAUGAAAUUGAUGUAUUUGUUCAUGAAAAUGAGCUCAUUUGGUCUGAUUUGAUUCCGGGUCAUGGCAUUGUAGUGAGUUUAGGUGUGUUAUUGGUAUGAUUAUGUUAAUCAAAGAUUCGAAAUGGCCGAUUUCUUCAUGAAAAUGAGCUCAUUUGGUGUGAUUUGAUUUUGGGUCAUGGCAGUGCAGUGAGUAUAGAUGUAGUAAUCAAACAAAUUGUUUGUGAAAAUGAACUCAUUUUAUUUGGUUUGAUUCCGGGUCAUGGCAUUGCAAUGAGUUUAGCUGUAUUAUUGAUUAUUUGAAUGAGGGCGAUUUGUUAGGGGAAAAUGAGCUCUUUUGGUGUGAUUAUGUGAAUCAAAGGAUUUGAAAAUGGUCAGAUUGUUCAUGAAAAUGAGCUCAUUUGGUCCGAUUUGAUUCCGGGUCCUGGCAGUGCAGUGAGUUUUGGUGUAUUAGCAUGAUUGUAAUUUAUAUCAAUCAAACUAUUAGAAACACUAGAUUUCUUCACGAAAAUGAGCUCAUUUUAUGUGAUUAGGUUUCGGUUCACUGCAAUGCAGUGAGAUUUGGUGUAUUAGCAUGCGAUUGGAAAAAUGAUCUCAUAUCAUUUGAUUGAUCUCCGGCCAUGAUAUCACAAUGAGUCUAGGUCUACUACGGUGAUUAUAUCAAUGAAACGAGUAAAAAUGCUUGAUUUAUUCAUGAAAAUGAGCUCAAUCCAUGUGAUUCCAUUUUGGGUCAUGACAAUGCAGUCAGUUUAGGUGUACCGUUCAUGCAUUGUGUAAUUAGUAGGUGAUCGGGUUUUUGAUUAAUUAAUCAAGCUUGUGUCAUUCGUAAAACCUACUUACAAUACAUUGUGAUAUUGUUUUUUAAGCACGCAACCAUAUUAACAUUUUUUUAGCUCAUGUUUUAUUGUUUCAUCCAUUGUUGAUGAGGGGUUAGGCUCUAACUACAAACGAUGCAUGUCUUUUUUCGGGAUUUAUUAUACGAUAAGAAUCAUCAAUGUGUAUAUAUUUUGUGCAUGUUGUCAUCUAGGGUUUAUCGUAUUUGAUUAUUAUAAGUCAUACCGUGGAUCCUUCUUGACCGACACAUGUUUCUUAAUUAAGAAACCGAUCUCAUUGUAGUAUAAAAAACAAAACACAGGAGAAUUGUGUUUUGGGCCCAGCUGGGCCCAAAAAUUAAGAAAUGGUCCAUCUAACUGACCUAAUUAAUGAUAAGGAUAUCAAAUGUUAACAGACGAAAAUGACCUUUACAUUUCCAACUCAAAUUGUUGUAAAAUAAUGGGUUUCACAGCUGGUAAACGUGAAAUGCCAUGUCACCAGAGUGAAAACUCUGAAUCUUCCUAUGCAUGAGUAUACAUUCAGUAGUGGUUGUAUGGAAUUUAUGUCUGUGUACAAGACAUUUACACUAAGUGUACAAGGUACCUGUGCUUAAUGUACAAGGGUGUACAAAUGUACCUAUGUUGAAGUAUUUGCAAUGUUUAAAAUCAUUUCCAUUUUGAAAGGAUGAUGAACAUUCCCUCACACACAUUCCUUGAUGACGCACUCAUCCCCUUCAAUUUUAUUACUUCAUACAUGUUGAUUGGAUGACCAACGACAAUAAUGAUGAAUAAGAACCUAUAUUGUAUUUCACUUCCCCCUUUUCCCUUCCCCAUUUUCCCUUAGGCAUCACAUUGGAACAUGGUAGCUCACCCAUAUGCACGCUAUUAGUUUUAGGUAUGUCAAAUUUUUGCCAUUGUACAAGGCAUUUAAACUAAGUGUACAAGGCCAAUGUACUAAAAGUACAAGGGUGUACAAGGGUGUGUAUUUUACUUUUUCCAAACGUGGGGAACAAUCCUCACACAUGUUGCUUGAUAACACACGCAUUGCAUGCAAUUUAAUUGAUGUCUACCAUGUUCAUUCAACCUAUUAGCUUCCCUAGUAAUGAUGAAUAUGAACCGAAAUUUGGGUCACCUUUUGUGUCAUUUUCCCUAGUCCAUGGUAAUGGAAACAUUGGUUACCCACCCAUAUUCACUUGGAAAUAUGUACCUAUUAGGGAUUUGGUGACUGGACAAGGCAUUUACACUAAGUGUACAAGGCCAAUGUACUAAAAGUACAAGGGUGUACAAGGGUGUCUAUCUUACUUUUUCCAAACGUGGGUAACAAUCCUCACACAUGUUGCUUGAUAACACACGCAUUGCAUGCAAUUUAAUUGAUCUCUACCAUGUUCAUUCAACCUAUUAGCUUCCCUAGUAAUGAUGAAUAAGUUCCGAAAUUUGGGUCACCUUUUGUGUCAUUUUCCCUAGUCCAUGGUAAUGGAAACAUUGGUUACCCACCCAUAUUCACUUGGAAAUAUGUACCUAUUAGGGAUUUGGUGACUGGACAAGCCAUUUACACUAAGUGUACAAGGCAAAUGUACUAAAAGUACAAGGGUGUACAAGGGUGUGUAUCUUACUUUUUCCAAACGUGGGGAACAAUCCUCACACAUGUUGCUUGAUAACACACGCAUUGCAUGCAAUUUAAUUGAUGUCUACCAUGUUCAUUCAACCUAUUAGCUUCCCUAGUAAUGAUGAAUAAGUUCCGAAAUUUGGGUCACCUUUUGUGUCAUUUUCCCUAGUCCAUGGUAAUGGAAACAUUGGUUACCCACCCAUAUUCACUUGGAAAUAUGUUCCUAUUAGGGAUUUGGUGACUGGACAAGCCAUUUACACUAAGUGUACAAGGCAAAUGUACUAAAAGUACAAGGGUGUACAAGGGUGUGUAUCUUACUUUUUCCAAACGUGGGGAACAAUCCUCACACAUGUUGCUUGAUAACACACGCAUUGCAUGCAAUUUAAUUGAUGUCUACCAUGUUCAUUCAACCUAUUAGCUUCCCUAGUAAUGAUGAAUAAGUUCCGAAAUUUGGGUCACCUUUUGUGUCAUUUUCCCUAGUCCAUGGUAAUGGAAACAUUGGUUACCCACCCAUAUUCACUUGGAAAUAUGUUCCUAUUAGGGAUUUGGUGACUGGACAAGGCAUUUACACUAAGUGUACAAGGCCAAUGUACUAAAAGUACAAG
rnacentral:lncRNA from 1 species